rnacentral:rRNA from 1 species
CUUCCAUGCAAGUCGAACGGUAACGGGCCUUCGGGUGCCGACGAGUGGCGAACGGGUGAGUAAUGUAUCGGAACGUACCUUUCAGUGGGGGAUAACGUAGCGAAAGUUACGCUAAUACCGCAUAUUCUGUGCGCAGGAAAGCAGGGGAUCGCAAGACCUUGCGCUGAUUGAGCGGCCGAUAUCAGAUUAGCUAGUUGGUGAGGUAAAGGCUCACCAAGGCGACGAUCUGUAGCGGGUCUGAGAGGAUGAUCCGCCACACUGGAACUGAGACACGGUCCAGACUCCUACGGGAGGCAGCAGUGGGGAAUUUUGGACAAUGGGGGCAACCCUGAUCCAGCCAUGCCGCGUGAGUGAAGAAGGCCUUCGGGUUGUAAAGCUCUUUCGGCCGGGAAGCAUCGUAUCAGCUAAUACCUGGUGCGGAUGACGGUACCGGCAUAAGAAGCACCGGCUAACUACGUGCCAGCAGCCGCGGUAAUACGUAGGGUGCGAGCGUUAAUCGGAAUUACUGGGCGUAAAGCGUGCGCAGGCGGUUUUGUAAGACAGGCGUGAAAUCCCCGGGCUCAACCUGGGAACUGCGUUUGUGACUGCAAGGCUAGAGUACGGCAGAGGGGGGUGGAAUUCCACGUGUAGCAGUGAAAUGCGUAGAGAUGUGGAGGAACACCAAUGGCGAAGGCAGCCCCCUGGGUCGAUACUGACGCUCAUGCACGAAAGCGUGGGUAGCAAACAGGAUUAGAUACCCUGGUAGUCCACGCCCUAAACGAUGUCAACUAGGUGUUGGGGUGGGUAAAACCAUUUAGUACCGGAGCUAACGCGUGAAGUUGACCGCCUGGGGAGUACGGCCGCAAGGUUAAAACUCAAAGGAAUUGACGGGGACCCGCACAAGCGGUGGAUGAUGUGAUUAUUUCGAUGCA